rnacentral:tRNA from 1 species
GACAGUUGCCCUUGUAGCUCAGUGGUUAGAGCGUCUGUCUUGUAAACAGAAGGUCGAUGGUUCGAAUCCAUUCUGGGGCAA